CAAUGUCCCCAUUUCACUGAUUUUUUUUAAUUAAAGAAAAAAAAUCUUUUGACAAUUUCAAUUCCAAUUCCUAGACGUAAAUCUCAAGAGCCAUAGCUUUUUUUUUUAUAAGAUAUAUAAUUUUUUUAAUUCCUCCAUUAAUUUUAAUAUCAAAGUGCAACUAAGAAAACUGGUACACAGCUGUACAACAAAGAACAAAGUACACUACACACACUUCUCUGGAGCAUUUUCACGAAUAGUUCUGCAGAAUGAUCAAUCUAGAGGUUGAAUCUAAAAGUGUGCCUGAAACGGAGGACUCUCUUUCGUUUCAGCAUAAAAGCAUAGGAAGGUUGGGAUCAGUGAAGAAACUGAAGAAAAUGAGAUCAAUAAGGUUUCCCAGAUUUUCAAGCAUGAGAUCAACCAAUAGAAGAGGGAAAUCCAAGCAUGAGAAUCUUUCCAUUCUCUCAUCUUUUGCCACAGAAAGUUCAGAAAUGCCAACAACCCCAAUUGAGAUGUCAGAUUCGUCACCUCAUUACAUGAAGGGUACAAGUAGCUCUCAUGCAAAGGAGAGCUUUCAGAAUACACAAAUGCUAUUCACAACUGUGAAACUGAAGAGGAGUCUGAGCAGAAAGAUAUCCGGAAGGAAUGAUGUGAGGAGGAAACUCAAGUCAUCAAGAUCAAUCAAGAUUGGAACUCUGAAUGGCCAAAAAUCAACAAGAAAAGUAUCUGAAUCCAUUUGUGGCAGUGAUGAUACACAAUCUUAUGAUGGUGGUAACAAACCCCAGAGAGUUCUUACAAGAAGAUUGAGCUUGAAGCCUGUGAGGAUCCUAGCAAAGAUGCCUACUUCCAAAUCAAGGAAAGCUUCCAUGGACAAAGGCCAUCAUCACAUCUCUCUCUCCACAGAAUCAAGCUUGCAUAGAGCCACCUGUUCUUCAGCUCUCAAGGAUUCCCAUUUCUCUGAUCACAAUGAAUUGUCACUUGACGAAAAUGGUUCUCAAGAAGUAUCAGCAGUCAAGGUUUGUCCAUACACUUACUGUUCCCUUCACGGUCGUCGGCACAAGGAUUUGCCUCCAUUGAAACGCUUUAUGUCGAUGAGGAGGCGUCAGUUGAAGGCCCAAAGGAGCAUGAAAAUGGAUGGUAGAGCUGCUACCAGGUCAAACAAGCCUGGUAAUUCAAGGAAAGUUGCUCAGAAAACCGGAAUUAUUAACACUGAAAGUGGCAUAUCUAACAUUCAGAAUGGGAAAAGGAAGGUAAAGGACUCAAGUAUUAGGGCUGUUGACAAUGAAGAUUCCACAUUUGGUGAAGGUGGCAGUUCUAUGGGAGAGGAUGAAGAAAAUAACAACUUUAGGUAUGAUGCCUUUGAGAAAUCAACAUUAGUUGAUGUGGUUAAGCCUUCUUCUUUUGAUAUUGAGAUAUUGGAGGGAGAAGUAGCCACCAGUGGUGAAGAAAAAGGAGAUAAUGAAGUAAUGCAGGUGUGUUCUUUGCAGAAAGAAGCUAAGCCUGCUUACAGAAUACAGGAAGGGAAUGAUAGAUAUAUGAAAAUGUGGCACUUAGUGUAUAAGCAUGCCAUGUUAGGUAACCCAGAGAGGGAAGAAAAGCAUCCAAAUGAUGGGAAUGAUAAGAAAGGAGAAGGGAAAGGAGCUCACUCAUUUGAUGUAGUAAACAGCUCUUCCAUUCAGGAUCAGUGCGAAAGGGACCAGGCUGUGUAUGAUGAAAAUAAGAGUGUGAUUGACUUGGUCCAGAAAGCAUUUGAUGAAAUUCUUCUUCCGGAAACAGAAGACCUUGCUUCUGAUGAUGGUUCUAAGUCUAGAGGCUCCGGCCCCGAUGAGGAGCUCUUAGAAAAGAAUGAAGAUAAAACUGGGGAAGGAAGUGUCUCUGUAUCUGAAGAAUCUUCCAAAGAAGAUACAUUGCCGAAAGACGAAAACUUGAGCAGUCAAGCAGAAGAGAUAACAGGGCAAGGAAUGGGAUCCAAACCUGACCAGAAAACACCGAAGAGCUGGAGCAAUCUGAAGAAGCUAAUCCUGUUGAGAAGGUUUGUGAAGGCACUGGACAAGGUGAGAAAGUUAAAGUUUAGGCGACCGAGACAUUUGCCAUUAGAUUCUGAGUUUGAAGCAGAAAAAGUUUUUCUCAAGCGCCAAACAGCUGAAGAGAAACAAAGUGCUGAUGAAUGGAUGCUUGAUUAUGCACUUCAGAAGGUCAUUUCUAAACUAGAACCAGCUCAAAGGCAAAGAGUUUCACUUCUAGUAGAAGCUUUUGAAACAAUUCUUCCAUUUCAAGAUGCUCAAAAUACCCCAUUGUCUUCUGCAACAAUUGAGAAUCGAGCCAAUCCAGUUCGGUCCCUUGAUGACUCCUCGAAUCACAGCAAGAAAGAAACAGAAAAAGAUAAUGCUUGUUAUAAUACAAUGCCUGAACUGCACAAUUCUGUUGUGCUUAAAGAAAGAUGUCUUGAAAAUCUUGGGACCAAGGCAGUUGAGACUAUUUCUGCAUCUGGAACUGUCAAAGAAAAAUCAAAUGCCACACACAGUAUAGCCAGCAGUUAUGAUAAUGGGGAGAAGGCAUUAACUGGAAAUGAUAAUAUUCAUCAUGAGGAGGCUCCAUUCAGUGGGAUACUCAGUGAAGUUCCAGAAGACUCAGUACUGGAUUCAAACAAAAGAAAUCCAACAAGCCAAUCUGGCUCACCCCAACGAGAUUUUGAAACCAAGAUUGAUGCCAAUACAGAACAAUUUUCUAAUUCGAAAAGUUUUAUACUAAAAGGUCUUGUCAGGACACUUGGAACUAAUUUGGUUGGUUCAGGAGAACCUUCAGACCAACUAGGCGAACCAAAAACUGACACAGAAGGAAGGACAGAGAAAGCUAAUAUCCCUAUGCAUGAGCAAUCUGAAGAUCCUAAUAAUGCUAAUGUAGAAUCUGAGACUCAGCCAGAGAAGCAGAACUACACAGGACUAUGGUACUUGGUGUAUAAGCACAUGGUAUCCGGUUCAGGAGAAAAUGAUUCCAAGUUAGUAAUUGAUGGAGCAGAUGGGAAAGAAUCUGAGUAUGAAGGUAGCAGAUCAAGAGACACCUCAGUUUCAUGUGAAAGUACACCAAUGAUGAAUCAAGGUAUGGACAUGAAGGAUCAUGGUCUAGCUGACCAAGAAGUUGAACGCCAACAGCUUGAAGCCAUCAAGAUGGUAGAAGAAGCAAUUGAUUCAAUCAUCCCGGAUGAUCUUGAACAUACACCAGACAGACAAUUGAUGACUGAAAACACAAUUUCAGUCGACGGCUCCAAACAAUCCAAUGGUGCUGAAAGAGUGUUCAGCAAAGACAACCAAGAGGAACCAAGGAUGGCAUUUGGAAAUACAAUAACUGAAAAACGCGAAAAGGAAGAUCAAACAGAAUCAAAGGAAGGAAACAACCCGGACAGGAAAUUACCUAGAAGCUGGAGCAAUCUUAAAAAGGUGAUCCUGCUUAGGAGAUUCAUCAAGUCAUUGGAAAAAGUGAGAAAAUUCAACCCAAGAGGGCCUAAAUAUCUGCCAAUAGAGCUUGAUCCAGAAGCAGAAAAGGUUAACUUAAGGCAUCUAGACAUGGCAGGAAGGAAAGGCACAGAAGAAUGGAUGCUUGAUUAUGCGCUUAGACAGGUUGUUUCGCAACUAACCCCAGCUCGGAAAAGAAAGGUGGGGCUGCUAGUAGAAGCUUUUGAAACAGUCAUGCCAACCAUGAAAAACUAAAGCUGGUCAAAUAGCAUAAUAGCUUUGUAUGCAAAGUAGAUUCAAGCUAAUUAAACAAGCUGAAAGCUUAAAACGUUUUACACAGUCGUGCAAUUACAUCUGUUCUUUUGGAUGACCAUUCACGCGGUCAAUGUGAAAGGUCAAAAAGAAGAUCUAUUUGAUCAUAAUCCUCUGGGAUGAGUCUGCAUAUUGUUGGUUUUCCAGAACAUUGUGUGAGUAGCACUGUUUGAUUGAUCCUUUAAAUUUUACUUCUUUCCCUUGUUUUCCAUCCACGGUGUUAGCACUUAGCAGAUGCAUGUAUCCUAUUUAGAGACCUUUGCAUUACAAAUACCAUGGACAAUUUCAAAUGUAUAAUAAUAUAUAGAUAUAUACAUUUUAUUUUAAUUUUAAUGUAUCCUAUUUAGCCUGAUUUGUGUCAUACACAUUUAUUU